CCUACGGGGGGCAGCAGUAGUGAAUAUUGCUCAAUGGGGGAAACCCUGAAGCAGCAACGCCGCGUGGAGGAUGAAGGUUUUCGGAUUGUAAAAUCCUUUUGUUAGAGAAGAUAAUGACGGUAUCUAACGAAUAAGCACCGGCUAACUCAGGGCCAGCAGCCGCGGUAAUCCGGCGGGUGCACGCGGUACUCGGAAUCACUGGGCGUAAAGAGCGCGUAGGCGGGAUAGCAAGUCAGAUGUGAAAUCCUAUGGCUUACCCAUAGUACUGCAUUUGAAACUGUUAUUCUAGAGUAUGGGAGAGGUAGGUGGAAUUCUUGGUGUAGGGGUAAAAUCCGUAGAGAUCAAGAGGAAUACUCAUUGCGAAGGCGACCUGCUAGAACAUAACUGACGCUGAUGCGCGAAAGCGUGGGUAGCAAACAGGAUUAGAUACCCUGGUAGUC
rnacentral:rRNA from 1 species